rnacentral:rRNA from 1 species
UGACCGCUGGCGGCAGGCCUAACACAUGCAAGUCGAGCGAGAAAGGUUUUCGGACUGAGUACAGCGGCGGACGGGUGAGUAACGCGUAGGAAUCUACCCAGUAGUGGGGGACAACUUAGGGAAACUUAAGCUAAUACCGCAUACGCCCUGAGGGGGAAAGCGGGGGAUCUUCGGACCUCGCGCUAUUGGAAGAGCCUGCGUUAGAUUAGCUAGUUGGUGGGGUAAAGGCUCACCAAGGCGACGAUCUAUAGCUGGUCUGAGAGGAUGAUCAGCCACACUGGGACUGAGACACGGCCCAGACUCCUACGGGAGGCAGCAGUGGGGAAUAUUGCGCAAUGGGCGAAAGCCUGACGCAGCCAUGCCGCGUGUGUGAAGAAGGCCUUAGGGUUGUAAAGCACUUUCAAUUGGGAGGAAGAGGUUAAAGUUAAUAGCUUUGACUUUUGACGUUACCUUUAGAAGAAGCACCGGCUAACUCCGUGCCAGCAGCCGCGGUAAUACUGAGGGUGCAAGCGUUAAUCGG